ACCCAGGAGGUGGAGCAGGUGGAGGUUGCAGUGAGCCAAGAUCGUGCCACUGCACUCCAGCCUGGGG
rnacentral:miRNA from 1 species